rnacentral:rRNA from 1 species
AACGAACGCUGGCGGCAUGCCUAACACAUGCCAGUCGAACGAGACCUUCGGGUCUAGUGGCGCACGGGUGCGUAACGCGUGGGAACCUGCCCUUAGGUUCGGAAUAACUCCCCGAAAGGGGUGCUAAUACCGGAUAAUGUCUUCGGACCAAAGAUUUAUCGCCUUUGGAUGGGCCCGCGUUGGAUUAGCUAGUUGGUAGGGUAAAAGCCUACCAAGGCGACGAUCCAUAGCUGGUCUGAGAGGAUGAUCAGCCACACUGGGACUGAGACACGGCCCAGACUCCUACGGGAGGCAGCAGUGGGGAAUAUUGGACAAUGGGCGAAAGCCUGAUCCAGCAAUGCCGCGUGAGUGAUGAAGGCCUUAGGGUUGUAAAGCUCUUUUACCCGGGAUGAUAAUGACAGUACCGGGAGAAUAAGCUCUGGCUAACUCCGUG